UGAAAACUCCGAGCUUUACGGCCUAAAGCAUAUGCCAUGGCCAUAGAGCCGCAGGUACUGCCUGCCGGGGUACAGCCGGAAACGUCUGUGCCUUCCCUUAUUGAAAAGGAGUGUUCAU
rnacentral:ncRNA from 1 species